CCCUAGGCUUAUAGUCGAGUCAAUAACUUUUCCUGGGUUUUUGGGGUAAAAUUAGGGGCCUCGGCUUAUAUUCGGGUCAGCUUAUACUCGAGUAUAUACGGUAUGUUUAACAUGUACACUUUUCAUUGGAAGGCUGUGGUGGGUGCCCAUUGCUACCCAUUUCUCAUAACCUUGCCAGAAACAAAAUAAGUAAUGAGUGAGUAUAUUUUCUUCCUUCAUGGUUUAGGAUUGUAUUGAUUAGGUAUCAUGACAAAUUGUAUGACUUAUCAAAAUUCUAGAAAUUGUUUAAAGGGGUCUUUAUGGUCCAUCAAUUUCUAACCAGUGGAAGCAUGCCCACUGAUCAUGUGCCACUGCGCUCAAAGCUUGCCCCAUUCACUUCAACCAGCUAUAAUACCAGGUACAGCUGCUACCCAGUAUAUAGCAUUCUGCCUGCUUGGAAUUGAAAAAGUUUCAGCACUCACAUGAGCACAGAGGUUCCUGUAAUCCAGUGCACCCUGGUUGGGAAACACUGCUUUAAUCAGUUGAUUGUGGAGGAAGCUCUUGAUCAGGCCCCUACAGAUCAGAUAUUGAUGGGCCCACCCUGAGGAUAGACCACCCAUAAAAGAAAUCCUGCAAAACUCGUUUUAACCUUUCUUAAAUUGCAACUAAUUAUGAUACCAAUUCAAUACAAUCCAACACCAAGCAACACAUAAAGUAAAAAAUAAAUAAAUAAAAAAAAUACAUAUUUUCCUUGAACAGACCUUAACGGGGGAACACAUCUGUACAUAAAUAAUAUGCUAUAAAACGUGAAAGUCCCUUUAAACAUAAUUUAUACAUACUUAUACAUCACUUAUACAUACAACAAUUAGAGGCCAUCUCAAUGGUUGCCUAGAAAUAGUGUUACUUCCUGUUUAGGUGACUACUGUUAGUUUAUGUUCACACUGUGGAAUUUCUAUGCUGCCACUCGGAUUCCUUUCUACCACGCUGGCAGCGGAUUUUGUACAGUUUUGCAGAUUACUUGAGGGAUGUGAACAUAGCCCUACUCUGCUAGAAAUCAGCUGCUGGGUAAAAGAUCAGGAAAUGCAUUUUUAUAUAGAGUCGGGAAGAAGAUUCGUUCAGCACUGCGGUAAUACAGAAAAUCCGGUAUUGGGGCUAGAGCUUAAAGGGGUAUUCCAGGAAAAAACUUUUUUUUUUUUAUAUCAACUGGCUCCAGAAAGUUAAACAGAUUUGUAAAUGACUUCUAUUAAAAAAUCUUAAUCCUUUCAAUAAUUAUCAGCUGCUGAGGUUGAGUUGUUGUUUUUUGUCUGGCAACAGCGCUCUCUGCUGACAUCUCUGCUUGUCUCGGGAACUGCACAGAGUAGAAGAGGUUUGCUAUGGGGAUUAGCUUUUAAACUGAGCGGUUCCCGAGACACGUGUCAUCAGACAGCACUUAGACAGAAAAGAACAACUCAACUUCAGCAACUCAUAAGUACUGAAAGGAUUAAGAGUUUUUAAUAGAAGUAAUUUACAAAUCUGUUUCACUUUCUGGAGCCAGUUGAUAUAUAAGAAAAAGUUUUUUCCUGGAAUACCCCUUUAAGAAUAGACGUAUGGCGGUGCACAGGCUAAAGAUAGAGUACAAAUAGCAACAUGGCAAAGAGAAAAUGAAAGCCGGCCACUCACCAUUUCUUGUCUCUUCAAACUUCUUUAUUUGAACAAAAAGGUACUCGCACAACGUACAGGGGAGAGGGACAAAUCCGGGGGGGGGCUCAGAUAGUGCGAAACAGAACUUGUUGCCUAUCUAGUGCUUCUUCCGGCCAUGGCCGGAAGAAGCACUAUAUAGUGCGAAACGGAGCUUGUUGCCUAUCUGUACCCCCUGGACUUAGUCCCUCUCCCCUGUACAUUGUGUGAGUACCUUUUUUUGUUCAAAUAAAGAAGUUUGAAGACAAGAAAUGGUGAGUGACCGGCUUUCAUUUUCUCUUUGCCAUAUUUUUAUAUAGAGGUUGGUGUUGAGGUUGGCACAGUGUAAAAGUGGAGAAGUGGCCUAUAGCAGCCAAUCACAUCUCUGACAGAUGAGCUGAAACAGGAAGACCCAGUAUGCAUAGAAAAUCUUUUGAAUAGAGAUGCCCUUUAAAUUGUUAGUCAUUAAAAACAAGUUUUGACAUGUUGAUCGCAUCGGGUCAAGACUCGUUGCGAUCAAGAGUUAUUAGCCAGGAAAACGGUCAGCAUUGCGCUCCUCUUCCUGGCUGCCCGAGAAAUCCGACCUUUUCUCUGCACAGAUGCAGAUAAAAUGUCCGAUCUGCCGGUCGGGUAGCAAAGUGCAGUGGCACCAUCUAUCCCGGCUAAUAACUCACCAUUACAACCACCCUUAACCUGGUGCGAUCAACAACUUUUGACAAUGUCUGAUCAACAUAUCAAUAGUUGUUUUUAAUGACAAUGACGCUUUAAUUUGGAAAGUCGAGUUUGAUUUUUACAUCAUUACAAUGUUGAAGUUUCUCGAUGUCACAGGAUCGGAAAAGUAUUAUGAAAGUAAAAUAACCUUGUAUAAUAUGUAAUCCCGGGAUUGUCGUCCUGUUGUAGGAUGUGCUGAUACAUGAAAUGGUACUAGAGUAAGUGAAUGCCAAUAAAAAAUAAUAAGUGUUAGAAUAAUAAUAUUGCUGCACAAUUCAAGGAUAAAAAAAAGCUCAAGGAUCCGUGUAGAUGUCAGUAUUAAAGGUGAUGAUAUAUUU